rnacentral:rRNA from 1 species
CGUAGGGUGCAAGCGUUGUUCGGAAUCAUUGGGCGAAAAGCGCGUGUAGGCGGUCAACUAAGUCGGGGGUGAAAUCCCUGGGCUCAACCGAGGAAGUGCAUCCGAAACUAGUUGGCUGGAAGACGGUAGAGGAAGGUGGAAUUCCUAGUGUAGAGGUGAAAUUCGUAGAUAUUAGGAGGAAUACCGGUGGCGAAGGCGGCCUUCUGGACCGUUCUUGACGCUGAGACGCGAAAGCGUGGGGAGCAAACAGG